UACGGAAGGCAGCAGUGGGGAAUAUUGCACAAUGGGCGCAAGCCUGAUGCAGCCAUGCCGCGUGUAUGAAGAAGGCCUUCGGGUUGUAAAGUACUUUCAGUCGUGAGGAAGGUGUUAAGGUUAAUAACCUUAGCAAUUGACGUUAGCGACAGAAGAAGCACCGGCUAACUCCGUGCCAGCAGCCGCGGUAAUACGGAGGGUGCGAGUGUUAAUCGGAAUUACUGGGCGUAAAGGGCACGCAGGCGGUUAAUUAAGUUGGAUGUGAAAUCCCCGGGCUUAACCUGGGAAUGGCAUUCAAGACUGGUUAGCUAGAGUCUUGUAGAGGGGGUAGAAUUCCAUGUGUAGCGGUGAAAUGCGUAGAGAUGUGGAGGAAUACCGGUGGCGAAGGCGGCCCCUGGACAAAGGCUGACGCUCAUGUGCGAAAGCGUGGGGAGCAAACAGGGAUUAGAUACC
rnacentral:rRNA from 1 species